rnacentral:rRNA from 1 species
ACGGAGGGUGCAAGCGUUAAUCGGAAUUACUGGGCGUAAAGCGCACGUAGGCUGUAGUGUAAGUCAGGGGUGAAAUCCCACGGCUCAACCGUGGAACUGCCUUUGAUACUGCACAACUUGAAUCCGGGAGAGGGUGGCGGAAUUCCAGGUAUAUGACGGAAAUCCGUAGAUAACUGGAGGGACAACAAUGGCGAAGGCGGCCACCAGGACCAGUAACGACACUGAGAUGCGAAAGCGUAGGGAGCAAACAG